rnacentral:rRNA from 1 species
AGGCCUUAGGGUUGUAAAAUUCUUUUAGUGGAGAAGAUAAUGACGGUAUCCACAGAAAAAGUCCCGGCUAACUUCGUGCCAGCAGCCGCGGUAAUACGAAGGGGGCAAGCGUUACUCGGGAUUAUUGGGCAUAAAGCGUGCGUAGGCGGUUUUAUAAGUUGAAAGUGAAAGCCUUUGGCUCAACCAAAGAAUUGCUUACAGAACUGUAAAACUAGAGUAUUAGAGAGGAUAGAAGAAUUCCUGAUGUAGGGGUGAAAUCCGUAGAUAUCAGGAGGAAUAUCGAAGGCGAAAGCAUCUGUCUGGCUAAAUACUGACGCUGUUGCACGAAAGCGUGGGGAGCAAACAGGAUUAGAUACCCUGGUAGUCCACGCAGUAAACGAUGAGUGCUAGAUGUUAGUACUAUGUUUUAGCGUCGAAGCUAACGCAUUAAGCACUCCGCCUGGGAACUAC